AGAGUUUGAUCCUGGCUCAGAACGAACGCUGGCGGCGUGCCUAACACAUGCAAGUCGAGCGCGAAAGGAGCAAUCCGAGUAGAGCGGCGCACGGGUGAGUAACACGUGGGUAAUCUGCCUCGAAGUCUGGAAUAACCUUCCGAAAGGUUGGCUAAUGCCGGAUAAGCUCACGGGAACUUCGGUUCUUGUGGGAAAAGGUGGCCUCUGUUUACAAGCUAUCACUUCGAGAUGAGCCCGCGGCCCAUCAGUUAGUUGGCGGGGUAACGGCCCACCAAGACUACGACGGGUAGCUGGUCUGAGAGGACGAUCAGCCACACUGGAACUGAGACACGGUCCAGACUCCUACGGGAGGCAGCAGUGGGGAAUUUUGCACAAUGGGCGCAAGCCUGAUGCAGCAACGCCGCGUGUGUGAUGAAGGUCUUCGGAUCGUAAAGCACUUUCGACCGGGACGAAACACCCUCACCCAACACGUGAGGGCCUGACGGUACCGGGAGAAGAAGCACCGGCUAACUCUGUGCCAGCAGCCGCGGUAAUACAGAGGGUGCAAGCGUUGUUCGGAAUUAUUGGGCGUAAAGCGCGUGUAGGCGGCAUAGCAAGUCGGGUGUGAAAGCCCUCGGCUCAACCGAGGAAGUGCGCCCGAAACUGCUGUGCUUGAGUACCGGAGAGGGUAGCGGAAUUCCCCAAGUAGAGGUGAAAUUCGUAGAUAUGGGGAGGAACACCGGUGGCGAAGGCGGCUACCUGGACGGUCACUGACGCUGAGACGCGAAAGCGUGGGUAGCAAACAGGAUUAGAUACCCUGGUAGUCCACGCUGUAAACGAUGAGAACUAGGUGUCGUGGGUGUUGACCCCCGCGGUGCCGUAGCUAACGCAUUAAGUUCUCCGCCUGGGAAGUACGGUCGCAAGACUAAAACUCAAAGGAAUUGACGG
rnacentral:rRNA from 1 species